CACAAAUGAGAAGACGUAUCGUUAACAAUGAAAUGUUACAAUAACAGGUUUAAUAAGUCUAUACUAGAUAUUGUUGGUGGUUAUAUCAUUCUUUCUCACUCUGGUUUUCCAGUUCACCAAGUCAAUGGUGUAAUUCAGGUUAUAUGUGGCCACCCAUUUUGCGCUGGUACGGUCACCAUAUGUUACCAAAUAUCGAAGAUAAUACAGUCUUCCUAAGUCCACUUGAAGAUAAUUGUUUUUAUCCCAGACAGGAGCACACCAAGAACCACCACGGGAUAUCCUUGCAUCAGAAGCACUGUGACCUUCUGAAGAAGCAGAAGCAGUAAAUGACGAAUCUGGAAAACGUUGUUUAUCUUCCAACAGUGGUUUAUACCGUGAAGACAUGCCUAAAAUGUAAAAUAAAUGUCGAGCAUUCUAGAUUUUAUGACCAUCGAUCCUAGGUUGUUCUUCGAGUGUCCAGGUUUAUUUCCGAAUCACAUUCUAUUUUCAUUCUUCUUUUAAAGUAAAU